CAAUAGCGUAUAUUAAAGUUGUUGCGGUUAAAAAGCUCGUAGUUGGAGUUCUGCCAGGUGCCGCCUGUCCGCCCCAGUGGUGAGUACGUGGCGCGCAUUUGGCCCUUUCAAGGGGAGCGUAUCUGCACUUUAUUGUGUGGUGCGGGAUCCUUGACUUUUACUUUGAGGAAAUAGGAGUGUUCCAAGCAGGCUCUCGUCGUGCACAGCUCAGCAUGGAAUAAUAGCAUUGGACCUCGAUUCUAAGCUGUUGGUUGCCAGAAGCGAGGUAAUGAUGAAGAGGGAUAGUUGGGGGCAUUCGUAUUUAACUGUCAGAGGUGAAAUUCUUGGAUUUGUUAAAGACGGACUACUGCGAAAUCAUCUGCCAUGGAUGUUUUCAUUGA
rnacentral:rRNA from 1 species